AGGCGAGUAGCUCAAUUGGUAGAGCACCGGUCUCCAAAACCGGGGGUUGGGGGUUCGAAACCCUCCUCGCCUG
rnacentral:tRNA from 1 species